GUAGAGAUAUAUGGAAGUAAUUGCAGAAUCUAUCAAAAGAAGUUACUCCGACCAGAGAGCCCACAACAUGAGAGUGAUUAGAAUUACAUGCUAAAAAAAAGAGAACAUUAGAUUUGCAUAGGAGAUAGAGUCGCAUGCAUUCCUGCUGUAUUAAGAAGUACAGGAGGUUUGAAACACUACUGUAAGAGAAGGAGCCCUUCCAGCUAAAUAAAGAAGAAACUCAAUGGAAAUCCUGUUUCUGCAGAAGAGGCAGAGGAUUUUCCUGCAUCCCGCUGUCUGCUGGCAUUUAGCCACUUUCAACAGCAAGUACACCAAGAGCAGCUGCUGGAUUCUUCCAAGGCAAGAUAUCGCUAUCAGUAAUGAACAGUCACUGUACAUGUAAAUUGCCUGCGAAAGGGAUUGAAAAUAAAUUCUUUUGCUGCUCCUGAGUAAGGCUUGCACAGGAAAAGCAUAGCUAAAUUAGUAAAUAUUUUUGUUUCUAUUAAACUAAUAAAUGAGGCUGCUAAGUGACCAAAUAGUUCUGAAAAACCUUCUCAGAGUGUCAUACAUUGUCAUACUGACAAUGGUUAAAAAAAUUUAAUGCAAGCACCAAGUAAAUCCCUUUUUCCAGCAUCUUAUAUGAGACAAAGGAUCAGAUCAGAUUCCUUUCCAGCCUUCUUACUUGUGAGCUACAAUGGCAGAAAAAAAAAACAACAAAUUUUCAGUGGUGUAACCUUAAUUAUAUUUCAAGAUCCCACAUUUUAUCCAUUAUUUCAUAAUGGGCCAUGUAUCUGAGAGUCGCCCUUACAUUUCAUCUAGUUUGGGUAGAUCUGUUUCCUUGGUUGUUGCUGUAUGAUUCUAGAUUAUGUAGCUAACAUAGUUCAUUUAUUAUUUUUCUAUAAAAUUAGGUUGUAGGGAAAACUUUUCCUGCUUAUUGUUUUUAUUAAGGAAAUUGAAAUACUUGCAUUUCUUCUAUUGUACAUUCAAAAUCUUGUUUCAAACUAAUUUCUGAAUAAAAGCCUUAAUUUACUGCUCAUUUCCUUGAAGCACUUAAGAAACAGACUCUAAAAAAGCAUAGUAACGUCAGUGUAUGAGAAAUUGAUGUAUAUCAGAAGUAACAAAGGAAUAAAAUUAAUACAUUACUGUGAAAUUAAUUGAAAAUUACAGGGGUUUUUAAUAGGGGGGUAGAAGAGCAAGACCAAUUCCUAGUUUGAGACAGUUUCUUGACAUUCGACAAUCGAUACAUCAAUUUUAGUAUAUUCUCCUUUUAGCACUUUCCCAAAAUUCAGUUUGAGGCGUUUCUUUGAAUGAUGCCAGAACUUCAGAUUUGCACAAUACUUACUUACUUAUUGAUUGAUUGAUUUGUUUGGCUGGUGGUGAAAAUUGGCGUGGUAAUCCUGUCAAUUGAAGUCCUCUGAAAAACCUCAUGUUGCAUGACUAGAGAUAUCAAGGCAGUGAAGCUAGAUGUAUAAAAUGCUGGUGUGGGGUGAAUAUGGCUAAACUGUACAUGCAGACAGAUUUUAAGCACCAAUAAAAAUUGGUUGCGAAAACAUAUGACUGCAAUUGAGCAGCUUUAAUCACCAGGACACUGAUGCUAAAAAACUCCUUUUGAGUGUUAGCAUGAAACUAAUGUGGUAUGAGAGGAGCUUUCAGCAGUUUAGAUGAGUGUUCGCUGCGUAGCAGACAAAUAGGCUUUGUGCCCGAGAAGCUUCUCUCAUAAUCUCAAUACCAGUGACAUCUGGUGCCCAAUUUGAGACAUUUCUGUCUUUAAUUUCUCACAACUCCAUUUUAAUAAAAGUUAAGUGAGACAUACACCAGUGAUGGCCCUAUAUCCCAUAAAAUAUGAUUCCUUAUGAGAAGUAAACACAUUAUCUUGGAAACCUGCAUUUUGUUUACCUGCUUUCUAAUAAGAGGGGCCGUUCAUCAAUAGUCAUUGUCCUAUUAAACUUUUACUAUUAAUUUGAAGGCUAAAGUACAGUGGCUAAAAAUCAACUUCAGCAGAAGCCUGUAGAUUAGGUGGGGAUAAGAGAAUUAAAGCAGACUUCAAGUGGUCAAAUCUCAUUCACUGACUCACUUCAUGGAACUGUGCAUCUUAUGAUGCAUUGAAGCAAACUAAUUUAGCCAUUUUAAUUAAAGAAAAAAUCCAAACAUCUCAUUGGCAAUCAGCUUCUGCUGAGAUUUGAACAGCAUACUUAACGGCUUCUAAUGUUUAAAGUCAGCUUUUGUACUAAUAAAUGACAUUAAACUUCUACUGAUUUCACUGAUGAUUUUGGAUGGCACAGGGGUAAGAAUUUUUAAAUUCAGACAACAGAGAAAAUUGGAGGGAUGGGAUUACCAGUUGUGGAGCAAUUUUAAUGUGUCUCAAUUCAGUCUCCAGUGUAUUACUUGAUUUCUUGAACACUAGUCUAACACAACUGUCACUAAUCAGAUGGGGCUUUUUUUCUGUAGCGGAAAUCUUUGUGUGACUGAUGAAGUCAAACUGUUUUGAAAGCCAUUCCCAGCACUUGUGAACUUUUAUGUAUACUAAAAGCCAAAUUUUACAGUAAUUUUGUGCAUUUUAUUUAU